rnacentral:ribozyme from 1 species
ACGAGUCAAAUAAACAAUCACGUUGUGUCUCGUUUUCGCGUUGGUGUUUUCCCUUUUUUUGUUUUUUGUUUGUUUUCUGAUGUUGGCAAUAUUUGUUGAAAUGUUCGUAUUCGUGCAAUAAUAGAAAAAGAAAUUCGACUCAAU